rnacentral:tRNA from 1 species
GGAGCCGUGCCUGAAUUAAAGGGCUACUUUGAUAGAGUAGACUAUAGGGGUUAGAACCCCCUCCGCUCCU